GUUCUUAUAGUGUAGUGAAGCACAUAAGAUUUUCAAUCUUUUAGAACACUAAGAAUAUAGUAGUGUUAAGAAUA
rnacentral:tRNA from 1 species